rnacentral:rRNA from 1 species
AUUGAACGCUGGCGGCAGGCCUAACACAUGCAAGUCGAGCGGAUGAACUGUACUAGCUCCUGCUUUCAGCCGCCGACGGGUGGGUAAUUCCUAAAAAUCUGCGUAGCAGUUGGGGAUAACGUCCGGAAACGGGCGAUAAUACCUCAUAACUGCUGAUGAUGCAAGAGGGGGAUCUUCGGACCUUAGGCUCUCUGAUGAGCCUAGGUCGGAUUAGCUAGUUGGUGGGGUAAAGGCCUACCAAGGCAACGAUCCGUAUCUGGUCUGAGAGGAUGAUCAGUCACACUGGAACUGAGACACGGUCCAGACUCCUACGGGAGGCAGCAGUGGGGAAUAUUGGACAAAGGGCGAAAGCCUGAUCCAGCCAUGCCGCGUGUGUGAAGAAGGUCUUCGGAUUGUAAAGCCCUUUAAGUUGGGAGGAAAGGCAGUAAGUUAAUACCUUGCUGUUUUGACGUUACCAAAAGAAUAAGCACCGGCUAACUUCGUG